rnacentral:rRNA from 1 species
AUGAACGCUAGCUACAGGCUUAACACAUGCAAGUCGAGGGGCAGCAUGGUCUUAGCUUGCUAAGGCCGAUGGCGACCGGCGCACGGGUGAGUAACACGUAUCCAACCUGCCGUCUACUCUUGGACAGCCUUCUGAAAGGAAGAUUAAUACAAGAUGGCAUCAUGAGUCCGCAUGUUCACAUGAUUAAAGGUAUUCCGGUAGACGAUGGGGAUGCGUUCCAUUAGAUAGUAGGCGGGGUAACGGCCCACCUAGUCUUCGAUGGAUAGGGGUUCUGAGAGGAAGGUCCCCCACAUUGGAACUGAGACACGGUCCAAACUCCUACGGGAGGCAGCAGUGAGGAAUAUUGGUCAAUGGGCGAGAGCCUGAACCAGCCAAGUAGCGUGAAGGAUGACUGCCCUAUGGGUUGUAAACUUCUUUUAUAAAGGAAUAAAGUCGGGUAUGCAUACCCGUUUGCAUGUACUUUAUGAAUAAGGAUCGGCUAACUCCGUGCCAGCAGCCGCGGUAAUACGGAGGAUCCGAGCGUUAUCCGGAUUUAUUGGGUUUAAAGGGAGCGUAGAUGGAUGUUUAAGUCAGUUGUGAAAGUUUGCGGCUCAACCGUAAAAUUGCAGUUGAUACUGGAUAUCUUGAGUGCAGUUGAGGCAGGCGGAAUUCGUGGUGUAGCGGUGAAAUGCUUAGAUAUCACGAAGAACUCCGAUUGCGAAGGCAGCCUGCUAAGCUGCAACUGACAUUGAGGCUCGAAAGUGUGGGUAUCAAACAGGAUUAGAUACCCUGGUAGUCCACACGGUAAACGAUGAAUAUUCGCUGUUUGCGAUAUACAGCAAGCGGCCAAGCGAAAGCGUUAAGUAUUCCACCUGGGGAGUACGCCGGCAACGGUGAAACUCAAAGGAAUUGACGGGGGCCCGCACAAGCGGAGGAACAUGUGGUUUAAUUCGAUGAUACGCGAGGAACCUUACCCGGGCUUAAAUUGCAGAUGAAUUACGGUGAAAGCCGUAAGCCGCAAGGCAUCUGUGAAGGUGCUGCAUGGUUGUCGUCAGCUCGUGCCGUGAGGUGUCGGCUUAAGUGCCAUAACGAGCGCAACCCUUGUUGUCAGUUACUAACAGGUCAUGCUGAGGACUCUGACAAGACUGCCAUCGUAAGAUGUGAGGAAGGUGGGGAUGACGUCAAAUCAGCACGGCCCUUACGUCCGGGGCUACACACGUGUUACAAUGGGGGGUACAGAGGGCCGCUACCACGCGAGUGGAUGCCAAUCCCAAAAACCUCUCUCAGUUCGGACUGGAGUCUGCAACCCGACUCCACGAAGCUGGAUUCGCUAGUAAUCGCGCAUCAGCCACGGCGCGGUGAAUACGUUCCCGGGCCUUGUACACACCGCCCGUCAAGCCAUGGGAGCCGGGGGUACCUGAAGUGCGUAACCGCGAGGAGCGCCCUAGGGUAAAACUGGUGACUGGGGCU